AGUGAACGCUGGCGGUAGGCCUAACACAUGCACGUCGAACGGCAGCACAGUAAGAGCUUGCUCUUACGGGUGGCGAGUGGCGGACGGGUGAGGAAUACAUCGGAAUCUACUUUUUCGUGGGGGAUAACGUAGGGAAACUUACGCUAAUACCGCAUACGACCUACGGGUGAAAGCAGGGGAUCUUCGGACCUUGCGCGAUUGAAUGAGCCGAUGUCGGAUUAGCUAGUUGGCGGGGUAAAGGCCCACCAAGGCGACGAUCCGUAGCUGGUCUGAGAGGAUGAUCAGCCACACUGGAACUGAAACACGGUCCAGACUCCUACGGGAGGCAGCAGUGGGGAAUAUUGGACAAUGGGCGCAAGCCUGAUCCAGCCAUACCGCGUGGGUGAAAAAGGCCUUCGGGUUGUAAAGCCCUUUUGUUGGGGAAGAAAAGCAGCAGGUUAAUACCCCGCUGUUCUGACGGUACCCAAAGAAUAAGCACCGGCUAACUUCGUG
rnacentral:rRNA from 1 species